GUUUCAGCUUUUAACCUCUCGAGGAAUCCCAUUCCCUGGAUCAGGAUUCUAAGAUCUGUAUCUCUGCAAUGGGACAGGAUCCCUCCACUCAUUUGGAAUAGGCCACUAUGCCAGCUGCUGUCUGGUUUAAAGCGAUGCUUGGAGAAUCAAACCUGCCUUAUAUUUGAGGAGGGAUUUUUUUGUUGUUGUUAGGAAAAGAAAAUGGGAAGGAAUAAAACGUCCCAAACCUGUCCUCGGCCUUCACUUUUCCCGAAGGGAUAACCCAUCUGGAAAACCCAGUGGUUAGUGGAAUAUGGACCCAAAUUCCACGUUGAACAUUCAGAAAAAGAAAAGCGAAAGUGAAGAGUUUGCUGCAGCUUCUCUGGGGAAUCCCAAGUGUUCCUGAAGAAAAAAGGAGAUGCAGCUCAGAAAGAUGACUACUCAUUGGACAAUGGGGCACCAUAAAGAAGGGCAUAGCCAGGCUCCUGGUAGCCGGAGGGAGCCACAUUGACAAGGGUGUGAACAAGACAUAGCUUUCAGGGUUACAAAUAAGACAACAUGGAGCCUGGAAGGGACCUUGUCACGAAUUACCCAGCGGAUUUGACUGCCUUGGAUUUCUGCUUCCCUUUGGCUAUGGAGACGUGGCCCGCGUGUAUUGGUAACACCUUCAUUCCAUGUCAUACUGACUGCACUUAGCAAAUAGCACCUUGAGAUAGGCUGAAACACAAGACAUCCUUUUAAUUUUUACACUUAAAUGAAGUUGUGAAAUAAGAAUUGCUCUUUUAUUUGGUCAGUGAGUUGGUGGGCUGCUCAAAUUCUUCUAGGUGUAGUGAGGGCACUAGAUCAGCUAUCGAGAAAAUCUGUCUUUGGAAUGGCAGUUGCUCAGGACUGGGCACUUUUUAGCUACUGGCUAUUUGGGAGGGAUGAGGGUUUCCGGAGCUGGAGUCUCUCGUUCACACGAAUCCUAAACCUAGUAGGGCAAAAUCCACCCUUUCUCACAUUUGGCUAAAAUGGCUGAUUAUGUACUGUCCGUAGACUACUGGCCAUGAUAUAUUGCAUGUAGACUAAUUCCUAGCUCUGAAAGCACCAUUCAAAUGAAAUACCCUCUAAGUUCACUAUUCAUCCAAGUUUGAGUGUCGUGUCCUGUGUUUUCCUGUAAGGCACUGACAAGUACGUUCCAUUUUAGAGAUUAAGUGACUUUAUAAAGUCUUGUCCAUAUGACUAAUAGAGAACUGUUGCACAUCUUAGGACAAGAUUUUAAUAGCCCCUAGUGCUGCAUCUAAUCUGUCCUGUGAUGAGUUUUUUAAGAGUGAUUGGAUAGACAAACCCUGUGUUGCCCUCAUGCUUCCCUUUGGGGUUUAAUAGUAUUAAAUAGUAUUAUUUAAAUAGUAUUAUUAAUAGUAUUAAAUAGUCACCCCAGAUUUAACUUGUUGAAUUAUGACUUAGGGUUGGGUGUCUUCAAUUUCUUUUUCCCUGCUUUCUACCCACUACCAUGUAAAACUGUACAGAAAGUUCUCCAGGCAUGCUUUGAUGCUACUGUCAGCAACAAAGUCCUGGGGCUAAAUGAACCUCUCAUUAGGCCUAUUACAGCAUUACAUAUGGUCUUGAUGAUGAAUCCUCCUCUGGUUAGAGUGCUAGAUCAGGCAAGGUUAUCCAUGACAAUCACAGUGAAUACCUUGCAGUCAAGCAUGCUCACCCCAAAUUCCUGCUAACCACGAGAACUUUUUCUGACUAUAUUAAUAACCUGAUCGUUGGAGUUUUACAGUGGUCGAUACCAACUUCUGCACAGCUUGGUGAGGAUUGGCCCUGAAGCCCUUAUCCUCAGGACUCUACCUGCUCCUCAGAAUGCCUCAGCUACCAUUAGCUCCAUGGAUUUUUGGGGCUAAAAGGGGUGUGAACCUGCUGCUGUUAACCCCUGGAAUUUCUGCUUCUCCUGCCAACAUCUGAUCCCCAAGGUGAAGAGUUCUUCUCUCUUCUCCACAAUUCUUGUUGGACUCUUCUUCCUAGCCCAGCCUCCAAGUCUUUUCUGAAAAGCCCCCAGGAGUUUGUGCUUGCCUAGCCUGCUGAGCCUGGGAAGAAGGGGGUUGGAGCAGGGGUGUGCACUCGGAAAAGCGGUAUUUAGAACCAGUCUGGGGUACUGUGAGAUGCAGCUGUAGUCCAGAAGUUAAGGACAGCCACCUUCACCCCUUUCCUCUGAGCAGCCUUUAUUACCCCGUCGGAAACAGAAACCUUAUACUGACCCAAUAAUGACGCUGCUGACGUUCUAAUGAAGGGGAUUUGUAAGCUGCUACAUGAGCCCCAUGGGCUUAUGGUUGAAUCACAUUGGUUUGGGAAUGAAGAGAACUUUCUCAAUUUCCAUAUUGGAAAUAAAAACUCAAAGAUGCUCAAGAUCAGCGUAAUUGUCACUGGAAAGUCCAUAAAAAUGUACUUGCUUCUGCAAAUCACCUUAGGUUUUGCCUCUUUCCAAAUAAAGAACUCAAUCCAGAUUUGGGCUAAUUUUCAAACAUAUACUCUGGAGUGUAAGUUUUUAUUCGGGAGGCCAGUGGCAUGGAGAAUAAGAAACAGCAUAUUACCCUUACAUGCUCAGGAAUUCCCAAACUUGUCUUCCAGUCACGUACUCGACUCGACCCUGGUUUAGCCUCUCUCAAAUUGAUUAUAGGUAGGACAUACAUAAUUGGGGUUAAAAAGUAAUUUGA